AGUGAACGCUGGCGGUAGGCCUAACACAUGCAAGUCGAACGGCAGCACAGUAAGAGCUUGCUCUUACGGGUGGCGAGUGGCGGACGGGUGAGGAAUACAUCGGAAUCUACUUUUUCGUGGGGGAUAACGUAGGGAAACUUACGCUAAUACCGCAUACGACCUACGGGUGAGAGCAGGGGAUCUUCGGACCUUGCGCGAUUGAAUGAGCCGAUGUCGGAUUAGCUAGUUGGCGGGGUAAAGGCCCACCAAGGCGACGAUCCGUAGCUGGUCUGAGAGGAUGAUCCGCCACACUGGAACUGAGAAACGGUCCAGACUCCUACGGGAGGCAGCAGUGGGGAAUAUUGGACAAUGGGCGCAAGCCUGAUCCAGCCAUACCGCGUGGGUGAAGAAGGCCUUCGGGUUGUAAAGCCCUUUUGUUGGGAAAGAAAAGCAGCAGGUUAAUACCCCGCUGUUCUGACGGUACCCAAAGAAUAAGCACCGGCUAACUUCGUG
rnacentral:rRNA from 1 species